rnacentral:rRNA from 1 species
GCCUGCCCAGUGAUAAAAUUUAACGGCCGCGGUAACCUAACCGUGCGAAGGUAGCAUAAUCACUUGUCCUUUAAAUGGGGACUUGUAUCAACGGCACCACGAGGAUUAUACUGUCUCCUUUUUCUAAUCAGUGAAACUGAUCUCCCCGUGAAGAAGCGGGGAUAAAAUUAUAAGACGAGAAGACCCCAUGGAGCUUUAAAUUAAGCAGCAACCCAACCACCUAAUUCCCUCAUAAAAUAGAGAUAUGCAUGCGACUUUUAGGUUGGGGCGACCGCGGGGUAUAAAAUAACCCCCACGACGAAAAGAGCUAAAUCUUUAUCCCAGAGUUACCCCUCAAAGAAUUAGUACCCUAACGAACAAUGACCCGAUCAUCGAUCAACGAACCAAGUUACCCUGGGGAUAACAGCGCAAUCUACUUUAAGAGCCCCUAUCGACGAGUAGGCUUACGACCUCGAUGUUGGAUCAGGGUAACCUAAUGGUGCAGCUGCUAUAAACGGUUCGUUUGUUCAACGAUUAAAACCCUACGUGA